AAUAAAUUCAUUGUUUUGUAUUAAAAAGACGGCACCAAACCCAUUUCGAACUUGACUUUGCCUAGCAAAGCAAUAGCCCAUAGCCGCAAAUGCGUGUGAACCGCUGUUG
rnacentral:rRNA from 1 species